rnacentral:rRNA from 1 species
GGGUAUAGACCCGAAACCCGGUGAUCUAGCCAUGGGCAGGUUGAAGGUUGGGUAACACUAACUGGAGGACCGAACCGACUAAUGUUGAAAAAUUAGCGGAUGACCUGUGGCUGGGGGUGAAAGGCCAAUCAAACCGGGAGAUAGCUGGUUCUCCCCGAAAGCUAUUUAGGUAGCGCCUCGUGAAUUCAUCUCCGGGGGUAGAGCACUGUUUCGGCUAGGGGGCCAUCCCGGCUUACCAACCCGAUGCAAACUGCGAAUACCGGAGAAUGUUAUCACGGGAGACACACGGCGGGUGCUAACGUCCGUCGUGAAGAGGGAAACAACCCAGACCGCCAGCUAAGGUCCCAAAGUCAUGGUUAAGUGGGAAACGAUGUGGGAAGGCCCAGACAGCCAGGAUGUUGGCUUAGAAGCAGCCAUCAUUUAAAGAAAGCGUAAUAGCUCACUGGUCGAGUCGGCCUGCGCGGAAGAUGUAACGGGGCUAAACCAUGCACCGAAGCUGCGGCAGCGACGCUGAUGCGUUGUUGGGUAGGGGAGCGUUCUGUAAGCCUGCGAAGGUGGCCUGUGAGGGUUGCUGGAGGUAUCAGAAGUGCGAAUGCUGACAUAAGUAACGAUAAAGCGGGUGAAAAGCCCGCUCGCCGGAAGACCAAGGGUUCCUGUCCAACGUUAAUCGGGGCAGGGUGAGUCGACCCCUAAGGCGAGGCCGAAAGGCGUAGUCGAUGGGAAACGGGUUAAUAUUCCCGUACUUGGUGUUACUGCGAAGGGGGGACGGAGAAGGCUAUGUUGGCCGGGCGACGGUUGUCCCGGUUUAAGCGUGUAGGUGUGUGUUCCAGGUAAAUCCGGUUCACUUUAACACUGAGGCGUGAUGACGAGGCACUACGGUGCUGAAGCAACAAAUGCCCUGCUUCCAGGAAAAGCCUCUAAGCAUCAGGUAACAUCAAAUCGUACCCCAAACCGACACAGGUGGUCAGGUAGAGAAUACCAAGGCGCUUGAGAGAACUCGGGUGAAGGAACUAGGCAAAAUGGUGCCGUAACUUCGGGAGAAGGCACGCUGACACGUAGGUGAAGUGAUUUACUCAUGGAGCUGAAGUCAGUCGAAGAUACCAGCUGGCUGCAACUGUUUAUUAAAAACACAGCACUGUGCAAACACGAAAGUGGACGUAUACGGUGUGACGCCUGCCCGGUGCCGGAAGGUUAAUUGAUGGGGUCAGCGCAAGCGAAGCUCCUGAUCGAAGCCCCGGUAAACGGCGGCCGUAACUAUAACGGUCCUAAGGUAGCGAAAUUCCUUGUCGGGUAAGUUCCGACCUGCACGAAUGGCGUAAUGAUGGCCAGGCUGUCUCCACCCGAGACUCAGUGAAAUUGAACUCGCUGUGAAGAUGCAGUGUACCCGCGGCAAGACGGAAAGACCCCGUGAACCUUUACUAUAGCUUGACACUGAACAUUGAGCCUUGAUGUGUAGGAUAGGUGGGAGGCUUUGAAGUGUGGACGCCAGUCUGCAUGGAGCCGGCCUUGAAAUACCACCCUUUAAUGUUUGAUGUUCUAACGUGGACCCGUGAUCCGGGUUGCGGACAGUGUCUGGUGGGUAGUUUGACUGGGGCGGUCUCCUCCUAAAGAGUAACGGAGGAGCACGAAGGUUGGCUAAUCCUGGUCGGACAUCAGGAGGUUAGUGCAAUGGCAUAAGCCAGCUUGACUGCGAGCGUGACGGCGCGAGCAGGUGCGAAAGCAGGUCAUAGUGAUCCGGUGGUUCUGAAUGGAAGGGCCAUCGCUCAACGGAUAAAAGGUACUCCGGGGAUAACAGGCUGAUACCGCCCAAGAGUUCAUAUCGACGGCGGUGUUUGGCACCUCGAUGUCGGCUCAUCACAUCCUGGGGCUGAAGUAGGUCCCAAGGGUAUGGCUGUUCGCCAUUUAAAGUGGUACGCGAGCUGGGUUUAGAACGUCGUGAGACAGUUCGGUCCCUAUCUGCCGUGGGCGCUGGAGAACUGAGGGGGGCUGCUCCUAGUACGAGAGGACCGGAGUGGACGCAUCACUGGUGUUCGGGUUGUCAUGCCAAUGGCACUGCCCGGUAGCUAAAUGCGGAAGAGAUAAGUGCUGAA